rnacentral:rRNA from 1 species
GGUGGAUUAGUGGCGAACGGGUGAGUAACACGUGGGCAAUCUGCCCUUCACUCUGGGACAAGCCCUGGAAACGGGGUCUAAUACCGGAUAACACUCUGUCCCGCAUGGGACGGGGUUAAAAGCUCCGGCGGUGAAGGAUGAGCCCGCGGCCUAUCAGCUUGUUGGUGGGGUAAUGGCCUACCAAGGCGACGACGGGUAGCCGGCCUGAGAGGGCGACCGGCCACACUGGGACUGAGACACGGCCCAGACUCCUACGGGAGGCAGCAGUGGGGAAUAUUGCACAAUGGGCGAAAGCCUGAUGCAGCGACGCCGCGUGAGGGAUGACGGCCUUCGGGUUGUAAACCUCUUUCAGCAGGGAAGAAGCGAAAGUGACGGUACCUGCAGAAGAAGCGCCGGCUAACUACGUGCCAGCAGCCGCGGUAAUACGUAGGGCGCAAGCGUUGUCCGGAAUUAUUGGGCGUAAAGAGCUCGUAGGCGGCUUGUCACGUCGGAUGUGAAAGCCCGGGGCUUAACCCCGGGUCUGCAUUCGAUACGGGCUAGCUAGAGUGUGGUAGGGGAGAUCGGAAUUCCUGGUGUAGCGGUGAAAUGCGCAGAUAUCAGGAG